rnacentral:piRNA from 1 species
UAUGCUAUUGAAAAAGUAGGA